GACGAACGCUGGCGGCGUGCUUAACACAUGCAAGUCGAGCGAGAAACUUCGGUUUCUAGCGGCGGACGGGUGAGUAACACGUGGGCAACCUGCCUCACAAUGGGGGCUAGCCUUCCGAAAGGAAGAUUAAUACCGCAUAACACAAAGGAAACGCAUGUUUCUUUUGCCAAAGAAUUUCGUUGUGAGAUGGGCCCGCGGCGCAUUAGCUUGUUGGUGAGGUAACGGCUCACCAAGGCGACGAUGCGUAGCCGACCUGAGAGGGUGAUCGGCCACAUUGGAACUGAGACACGGUCCAGACUCCUACGGGAGGCAGCAGUGGGGAAUAUUGCACAAUGGAGGAAACUCUGAUGCAGCAACGCCGCGUGAGUGAUGAAGGUCUUCGGAUUGUAAAGCUCUGUCUUCUGGGACGAUAAUGACGGUGCCAGAGGAGGAAGCCACGGCUAACUACGCGCCAGCCGCCGCCGUAA
rnacentral:rRNA from 1 species